rnacentral:rRNA from 1 species
CCUACGGGAGGCAGCAGUCGAGAAUCAUUCACAAUGGGGGAAACCCUGAUGGUGCGACGCCGCGUGGGGGAAUGAAGGUCUUCGGAUUGUAAACCCCUGUCAUGUGGGAGCAAAUUAAAAAGAUAGUACCACAAGAGGAAGAGACGGCUAACUCUGUGCCAGCAGCCGCGGUAAUACAGAGGUCUCAAGCGUUGUUCGGAAUCACUGGGCGUAAAGCGUGCGUAGGCUGUUUCGUAAGUCAGGUGUGAAAGGGCCGGGCUCAACCCGCGGACGGCACAUGAUACUGCGAGACUAGAGUAAAGGAGGGGGAACCGGAAUGCUCGGUGUAGCAGUGAAAUGCGUAGAUAGCGAGAGGAACACCUGUGGCGAAGGCGGGUUCCUGGACAUUAACUGACGCUGAGGCACGAAGGCCAGGGGAGCGAAAGGGAUUAGAUACCCCAGUAGUC